rnacentral:rRNA from 1 species
ACCCGCUGAACUUAAGCAUAUCAAUAAGCGGAGGAAAAGAAACCAACAGGGAUUGCCCUAGUAACGGCGAGUGAAGCGGCAACAGCUCAAAUUUGAAAUCUGGCUUCGGCCCGAGUUGUAAUUUGCAGAGGAAGCUUCUGGUGCGGCACUGUCCGAGUCCCCUGGAACGGGGCGCCAUAGAGGGUGAGAGCCCCGUAUGGACGGAUGCCUAACCUGUGUGAAGCUCCUUCGACGAGUCGAGUAGUUUGGGAAUGCUGCUCAAAAUGGGAGGUAAAUUCCUUCUAAAGCUAAAUACCGGCCAGAGACCGAUAGCGCACAAGUAGAGUGAUCGAAAGAUGAAAAGCACUUUGAAAAGAGGGUUAAACAGCACGUGAAAUUGUUGAAAGGGAAGCGCUUGUGACCAGACUUGCGCCAGGCUGAUCAUCCGGUGUUAUCACCGGUGCACUCUGCCUGGCUCAGGCCAGCAUCGGUUUCCGCGGGGGGAUAAAGGUCCCGGGAAUGUAGCUCCUCCGGGAGUGUUAUAGUCCGGGGCGUAAUGCCCUCGUGGGGACCGAGGUUCGCGCAUCUGCAAGGAUGCUGGCGUAAUGGUCAUCAGCGACCCGUCUUGAAACACGG